rnacentral:rRNA from 1 species
AGAGUUUGAUCCUGGCUCAGGAUGAACGCUGGCGGUCUGCUUAACACAUGCAAGUCGAACGGAAUCCUUCGGGAUUUAGUGGCGGACGGGUGAGUAACACGUGAGAAUCUGCACUCAGGAUGGGGACAACAGCGGGAAACUGCUGCUAAUACCCAAUGGGCCGAAUUGGUGAAAGAUUUAUCGCCUGAGAAUGAGCUCGCGGCCGAUUAGUUAGUUGGUGGGGUAAAGGCCUACCAAGACGGCGAUCGGUAGCUGGUCUGAGAGGAUGAGCAGCCACACUGGGACUGAGACACGGCCCAGACUCCUACGGGAGGCAGCAGUGGGGAAUUUUCCGCAAUGGGCGCAAGCCUGACGGAGCAAGACCGCGUGGGGGAGGAAGGCUCUUGGGUUGUAAACCCCUUUUCUCAGGGAAGAAGUUCUGACGGUACCUGAGGAAUCAGCCUCGGCUAACUCCGUGCCAGCAGCCGCGGUAAUACGGAGGGGUGCAAGCGUUAUCUCGGAAUCACUGGGCGUAAAGCGUCCCGCAGGCGGGUGUCAAGUCGGAAGUGAAAUCCGCGGGCUUACCCCAGAAAGGCCUCCAAAACUCUCCACUAGAGGUGCAGUGAGGAGUAAGAAGGGAAUUUACCGGUGUAGCGGUGAAAUCCGUAGAGAUCGGUAAGAACACCAGAAGCGAAAGCGAUCUUCUGGACCACUACUGACGCUCAGGCGCGAAAGCUAGGGGAGCAAACAGGAUUAGAUUCCCUGGUAGUC